GACGAACGCUGGCGGCGUGCUUAACACAUGCAAGUCGAACGGAAAGGCCCUGCUUUUGUGGGGUGCUCGAGUGGCGAACGGGUGAGUAACACGUGAGUAACCUGCCCUUGACUUUGGGAUAACUUCAGGAAACUGGGGCAAUACCGGAUAGGAGCUCCUGCUGCAUGGUGGGGGUCGGAAAGUUUCGGCGGUUGGGGAUGGACUCGCGGCUUAUCAGCUUGUUGGUGGGGUAGUGGCUUACCAAGGCUUUGACGGGUAGCCGGCCUGAGAGGGUGACCGGCCACAUUGGGACUGAGAUACGGCCCAGACUCCUACGGGAGGCAGCAGUGGGGAAUAUUGCACAAUGGGCGGAAGCCUGAUGCAGCAACGCCGCGUGCGGGAUGACGGCCUUCGGGUUGUAAACCGCUUUCGCCUGUGACGAAGCGUGAGUGACGGUAAUGGGUAAAGAAGCACCGGCUAACUACGUG
rnacentral:rRNA from 1 species